rnacentral:rRNA from 1 species
CCUACGGGUGGCAGCAGUGAGGAAUCUUGGUCAAUGGGCGCGAGCCUGAACCAGCCACGUCGCGUGAAUGAUGACUGCCCUACGGUUUUUAAACUUCUUUUUUAAAGGAAUAAAGUGAUGCACGUGUGCCUUUUUGUAUGUACUUUAUGCAUAAGGAUCGGCUAACUCCGUGCCAGCAGCCGCGGUAAUACGGAUGAUCCGAGCGUUAUCCGGAUGGAUUGGGUUUAAAGGUAGCGUAGACGGGUUGUUAAGGCAGGUAUUAAAGUUUGCGGCUUAAACGUAAAAUUGCAAUUGAUACUGGCAGUCUUGAGUACAGUUGAGGUAGGCGGAAUUCGUGGUGUAGCGGUGAAAUGCGUAGAUAUCACGAAGAACUCCGAUUGCGAAGGCAGAUUACUAACCUGCAACUGACAUUGAGGCUCGAAAGUGUGGGUAUCAAACAGGAUUAGAUACCCCAGUAGUC